AGAGUUUGAUCAUGGCUCAGAUUGAACGCUGGCGGCAGGCCUAACACAUGCAAGUCGAACGGUAACAGGAAGCAGCUUGCUGCUUCGCUGACGAGUGGCGGACGGGUGAGUAAUGUCUGGGAAGCUGCCUGAUGGAGGGGGAUAACUACUGGAAACGGUAGCUAAUACCGCAUAAUGUCGCAAGACCAAAGAGGGGGACCUUCGGGCCUCUUGCCAUCGGAUGUGCCCAGAUGGGAUUAGCUUGUUGGUGGGGUAACGGCUCACCAAGGCGACGAUCCCUAGCUGGUCUGAGAGGAUGACCAGCCACACUGGAACUGAGACACGGUCCAGACUCCUACGGGAGGCAGCAGUGGGGAAUAUUGCACAAUGGGCGCAAGCCUGAUGCAGCCAUGCCGCGUGUAUGAAGAAGGCCUUCGGGUUGUAAAGUACUUUCAGCGGGGAGGAAGGGAGUAAAGUUAAUACCUUUGCUCAUUGACGUUACCCGCAGAAGAAGCACCGGCUAACUCCGUGCCAGCAGCCGCGGUAAUACGGAGGGUGCAAGCGUUAAUCGGAAUUACUGGGCGUAAAGCGCACGCAGGCGGUUUGUUAAGUCAGAUGUGAAAUCCCCGGGCUCAACCUGGGAACUGCAUCUGAUACUGGCAAGCUUGAGUCUCGUAGAGGGGGGUAGAAUUCCAGGUGUAGCGGUGAAAUGCGUAGAGAUCUGGAGGAAUACCGGUGGCGAAGGCGGCCCCCUGGACGAAGACUGACGCUCAGGUGCGAAAGCGUGGGGAGCAAACAGGAUUAGAUACCCUGGUAGUCCACGCCGUAAACGAUGUCGACUUGGAGGUUGUGCCCUUGAGGCGUGGCUUCCGGAGCUAACGCGUUAAGUCGACCGCCUGGGGAGUACGGCCGCAAGGUUAAAACUCAAAUGAAUUGACGGGGGCCCGCACAAGCGGUGGAGCAUGUGGUUUAAUUCGAUUCAACGCGAAGAACCUUACCUGGUCUUGACAUCCACGGAAGUUUUCAGAGAUGAGAAUGUGCCUUCGGGAACCGUGAGACAGGUGCUGCAUGGCUGUCGUCAGCUCGUGUUGUGAAAUGUUGGGUUAAGUCCCGCAACGAGCGCAACCCUUAUCCUUUGUUGCCAGCGGUCCGGCCGGGAACUCAAAGGAGACUGCCAGUGAUAAACUGGAGGAAGGUGGGGAUGACGUCAAGUCAUCAUGGCCCUUACGACCAGGGCUACACACGUGCUACAAUGGCGCAUACAAAGAGAAGCGACCUCGCGAGAGCAAGCGGACCUCAUAAAGUGCGUCGUAGUCCGGAUUGGAGUCUGCAACUCGACUCCAUGAAGUCGGAAUCGCUAGUAAUCGUGGAUCAGAAUGCCACGGUGAAUACGUUCCCGGGCCUUGUACACACCGCCCGUCACACCAUGGGAGUGGGUUGCAAAAGAAGUAGGUAGCUUAACCUUCGGGAGGGCGCUUACCACUUUGUGAUUCAUGACUGGGGUGAAGUCGGAACAAGGUA
rnacentral:rRNA from 1 species